rnacentral:rRNA from 1 species
AUCCAGACUCCUACGGGAGGCAGCAGUGGGGAAUAUUGGACAAUGGGGGGAACCCUGAUCCAGCGACGCCGCGUGAGUGAAGAAGUAUUUCGGUAUGUAAAGCUCUAUCAGCAGGGAAGAAAAUGACGGUACCUGACUAAGAAGCCCCGGCUAACUACGUGCCAGCAGCCGCGGUAAUACCUAGGGGGCAAGCGUUAUCCGGAUUUACUGGGUGUAAAGGGAGCGUAGACGGCAGGGCAAGUCUGGAGUGAAAGCCCGGGGCCCAACCCCGGGACUGCUUUGGAAACUGCCAUGCUAGAGUGCUGGAGAGGUAAGCGGAAUUCCUAGUGUAGCGGUGAAAUGCGUAGAUAUUAGGAGGAACACCAGUGGCGAAGGCGGCUUACUGGACAGUAACUGACGUUGAGGCUCGAAAGCGUGGGGAGCAAACAGGAUUAGAUACCCCAGUA